rnacentral:rRNA from 11 species
AAACUUUCAACAACGGAUCUCUUGGCUCUGGCAUCGAUGAAGAACGCAGCGAAAUGCGAUAAGUAAUGUGAAUUGCAGAAUUUAGUGAAUCAUCGAAUCUUUGA